rnacentral:rRNA from 1 species
AGAGUUUGAUCCUGGCUCAGAAUGAACGCUGGCGGCGUGCCUAACACAUGCAAGUCGAAUGUGCCGCAAGGUGCAUGGCAGACGGGUGAGUAACGCGUAGGGAAUCUACCUUUUAGUGGGGAAUAACGCUCCGAAAGGAGUGGUAAUACCGCAUGAGACCGUAGUCUGGGAUGACUACGGUGAAACCUGGGGACCGCAAGGCCUGGGGCUAAAAGAGGAUCCUGCGUCUGAUUAGCUAGUUGGCGGGGUAAUGGCCCACCAAGGCGACGAUCAGUAGCCGGCCUGAGAGGGUGAUCGGCCACACUGGAACUGAGACACGGUCCAGACUCCUACGGGAGGCAGCAGUGGGGAAUUUUGCGCAAUGGACGAAAGUCUGACGCAGCAACGCCGCGUGGGUGAUGAAGGUCUUCGGACUGUAAAACCCUGUCGUCAGGGACGAAGGUUGGGGGGUUAAUAGCCCUUUAGCUUGACGGUACCUGGAGAGGAAGCCCCGGCUAACUCUGUGCCAGCAGCCGCGGUAAUACAGAGGGUGCGAGCGUUAAUCGGAAUUACUGGGCGUAAAGCGUGCGUAGGUGGUUUUUUAAGCUGGAUGUGAAAGCCCCGGGCUUAACCUGGGAACUGCAUUCAGGACUGGGAAACUCGAGUCUGGGAGAGGGUGGUGGAAUUUCCGGUGUAGCGGUGAAAUGCGUAGAUAUCGGAAGGAACAUCAGUGGCGAAGGCGACCGCCUGGCCUAAGACUGACACUGAGGCACGAAAGCGUGGGGAGCAAACAGGAUUAGAUACCCUGGUAGUCC